rnacentral:rRNA from 1 species
UACGUAGGGCGCAAGCGUUGUCCGGAAUUAUUGGGCGUAAAGAGCUCGUAGGCGGCUUGUCACGUCGGGGUGUGAAAGCCCGGGGCUUAACCCCGGGUCUGCAUUCGAUACGGGCUGGCUAGAGUGUGGUAGGGGAGAUCGGAAUUCCUGGUGUAGCGGUGAAAUGCGCAGAUAUCAGGAGGAACACCGGUGGCGAAGGCGGAUCUCUGGGCCAUUACUGACGCUGAGGAGCGAAAGCGUGGGGAGCGAACCGG